rnacentral:rRNA from 1 species
AGGCAGCAGUGGGGAAUAUUGCACAAUGGGGGAAACCCUGAUGCAGCCAUGCCGCGUGUGUGAAGAAGGACCUUCGGGUUGUAAAGCACUUUCAGUAGGGAGGAAGGUAGUGUAGUUAACACCUGCACUAUUUGACGUUACCUACAGAAGAAGCACCGGCUAACUCCGUGCCAGCAGCCGCGGUAAUACGGAGGGUGCGAGCGUUAAUCGGAAUUACUGGGCGUAAAGCGCAUGCAGGCGGCCUGUUAAGUCAGAUGUGAAAGCCCGGGGCUUAACCUCGGAAUUGCAUUUGAAACUGGCAGGCUAGAGUCUUGUAGAGGGGGGUAGGAAUUUCAGGUGUAGCGGUGAAAUGCGUAGAGAUCUGAAGGAAUACCAGUGGCGAAGGCGGCCCCCUGGACAAAGACUGACGCUCAGAUGCGAAAGCGUGGGGAGCAAACAGGAUUAGAUACCCUGGUAG